GCAAGUCGAGCGCUCACUUCGGUGGGAGCGGCGGACGGGUUAGUAACGCGUGGGAACGUACCCAGAUCUAAGGAAUAGCCACUGGAAACGGUGAGUAAUACCUUAUACGCCCUUCGGGGGAAAGAUUUAUCGGAUUUGGAUCGGCCCGCGUUAGAUUAGGUAGUUGGUGGGGUAACGGCCUACCAAGCCUACGAUCUAUAGCUGGUUUUAGAGGAUGAUC
rnacentral:rRNA from 1 species